rnacentral:rRNA from 1 species
AUGUUGUUGGGUAGGGGAGCGUUCUGUAAGCCUGUGAAGGUGUGCUGCGAGGCAUGCUGGAGGUAUCAGAAGUGCGAAUGCUGACAUAAGUAACGAUAAUGCGGGUGAAAAACCCGCACGCCGGAAGACCAAGGGUUCCUGUCCAACGUUAAUCGGGGCAGGGUGAGUCGACCCCUAAGGCGAGGCAGAAAUGCGUAGUCGAUGGGAAACAGGUUAAUAUUCCUGUACUGGUGAUAAUUGCGAUGGGGGGACGGAGAAGGCUAGGCUGGCCGGGCGACGGUUGUCCCGGUUUAAGGAUGUAGGUGGG